rnacentral:rRNA from 2 species
CCGCCUGGGGAGUACGGUCGCAAGAUUAAAACUCAAAGGAAUUGACGGGGACCCGCACAAGCGGUGGAUGAUGUGGAUUAAUUCGAUGCAACGCGAAAAACCUUACCUACCCUUGACAUGUACGGAAGUCCGCUGAGAGGUGGAUGUGCCCGAAAGGGAGCCGUAACACAGGUGCUGCAUGGCUGUCGUCAGCUCGUGUCGUGAGAUGUUGGGUUAAGUCCCGCAACGAGCGCAACCCUUGUCCCUAGUUGCUACGCAAGAGCACUCCAGGG